rnacentral:ncRNA from 2 species
AGUUCUUUGAAGAUUUGCGGUGCCUUUUGCCUAACAGGGAAACCGGUAACCUACACGCUUAUAAGGCUGGGAUUCCGGUGCUGCCCCGCAACUGUGAUAGACUUAAUCAGUUAACACAAAGCCACUGCCCCGAUAAAUCGGGGUGGGAAGGCGUUAUCGGAUGUCUUAAGCCAGGAGACCUGCCGCAAAUUCCAUUAUUAA